GGAAUUUUGCGCAAUGGGCGAAAGCCUGACGCAGCAACGCCGCGUGGAGGAUGAAGGCCUUCGGGUCGUAAACUCCUGUCGAUGGGGACGAAGUUCUCGCAAGAGGAUUGACUGUACCCGUUGAGGAAGCCACGGCUAACUCCGUGCCAGCAGCCGCGGUAAUACGGGGGUGGCAAGCGUUGUUCGGAAUUACUGGGCGUAAAGGGCGCGUAGGCGGCAUAACAAGUCAGAUGUGAAAGCCCCGAGCUCAACUCGGGAACUGCAUCUGAAACUGUAUUGCUUGAGUUCUGGAGGGGGUAGUGGAAUUCCCAGUGUAGCGGUGAAAUGCGUAGAUAUUGGGAGGAACACCUGCGGCGAAGGCGGCUACCUGGACAGUGACUGACGCUGAGGCGCGAAAGCUAGGGGAGCGAACGGGAUUAGA
rnacentral:rRNA from 1 species